CGGGAACUCAAAGGAGACUGCCAGUGAUAAACUGGAGGAAGGUGGGGAUGACGUCAAGUCAUCAUGGCCCUUACGAGUAGGGCUACACACGUGCUACAAUGGCAUAUACAAAGAGAAGCGACCUCGCGAGAGCAAGCGGACCUCAUAAAGUAUGUCGUAGUCCGGAUUGGAGUCUGCAACUCGACUCCAUGAAGUCGGAAUCGCUAGUAAUCGUAGAUCAGAAUGCUACGGUGAAUACGUUCCCGGGCCUUGUACACACCGCCCGUCACACCAUGGGAGUGGGUUGCAAAAGAAGUAGGUAGCUUAACCUUCGGGAGGGCGCUUACCACUUUGUGAUUCAUGACUGGGGUGAAGUCGUAACAAGGUAACCGUAGGGGAACCUGCGGUUGGAUCACCUCCUUA
rnacentral:rRNA from 2 species